CCAGCAUUCACAGCAUGAGUCUACUUUCUGUAACGAGAUCCUGGAGCAGAACCGGACUUAGAACCGUCUACACAGCAAGCCCAGGAGACCUUGGCUGAACCACAUCAGUUCCCAAAGGUGUAAAGAUGGUUAAGAGAAAGAAGUGGGAGACCGGUGAAGUGAAAGCAGUUGAAAAACAUCUGAACAGGUUCAUUAAAACUUGCACAGUGCCAGGAAAAAAAAGAAAGUGAGGCUUGUAUAAAAGCUGAUCCUGUUGCACUGAAAGACCGAGAUGUUCUUUGUAAAGAACAGAAUCACUGCACUUAAAAGGAAAAUGUAAACCAGAACAAAUGUCGUUUGCACAGUCUUUGUUUUUUUACGUUCAUUGAUAGUUCCAACAGAAAAAAAAGGUUUUAUUUCAUUGUAUAUUUUAUUUGAUGUCAAUC